CCUACGGGAGGCAGCAGUGGGGAAUAUUGCACAAUGGGCGCAAGCCUGAUGCAGCGACGCCGCGUGAGGGAUGACGGCCUUCGGGUUGUAAACCUCUUUCAGUAGGGAAGAAGCGAAAGUGACGGUACCUGCAGAAGAAGCGCCGGCUAACUACGUGCCAGCAGCCGCGGUAAUACGUAGGGCGCAAGCGUUAUCCGGAAUUAUUGGGCGUAAAGAGCUCGUAGGCGGUUUGUCGCGUCUGCCGUGAAAGUCCGGGGCUCAACUCCGGAUCUGCGGUGGGUACGGGCAGACUAGAGUGAUGUAGGGGAGACUGGAAUUCCUGGUGUAGCGGUGAAAUGCGCAGAUAUCAGGAGGAACACCGAUGGCGAAGGCAGGUCUCUGGGCAUUAACUGACGCUGAGGAGCGAAAGCAUGGGGAGCGAACAGGAUUAGAUACCCUGGUAGUCCAUGCGUAACGUAGGCGACUGGUGUGGGACGAUCUCGUUCGUCGCGUGCUACGCAUAGUGCCGCCGCGGGAGGUACGGCCGGCGACGGACGUAAACGUUAAACGGUAAAGUUAGUUACGGUCGUUGAGACGUUGCCGACGGCGACGACGAGGGAGGAGG
rnacentral:rRNA from 1 species